AACGAACGCUGGCGGCAUGCCUAACACAUGCAAGUCGAACGAGACCUUCGGGUCUAGUGGCGCACGGGUGCGUAACGCGUGGGAACCUGCCCUUAGGUUCGGAAUAACUCCCCGAAAGGGGUGCUAAUACCGGAUAAUGUCUUCGGACCAAAGAUUUAUCGCCUUUGGAUGGGCCCGCGUUGGAUUAGCUAGUUGGUAGGGUAAAAGCCUAUCAAGGCGACGAUCCAUAGCUGGUCUGAGAGGAUGAUCAGCCACACUGAGACUGAGACACGGCCCAGACUCCUACGGGAGGGAGCAGAGGGGGAUAUAGGACAGUAGGCGAAGGCAUGAUCCAGCAAUGCCGCGUGAGUGAUGAAGGCCGUAGGGUUGUAAAGCUCUUUUACCCGGGAUGAUAAUGACAGUACCGGGAGAAUAAGCACCGGCUAACUCCGUG
rnacentral:rRNA from 1 species